UCGCAUGGUCUUUAUGGCCCAAAAGGAUUUAUCGCUGGAAAGAUGGCCUCGCGUCUGAUUAGCUAGGUUGGUGAGGUUAAACGGGCCCACCAAGGCGACGAUCAGUAGCCGGACUGAGAGGUUGAACGGUCACAUUGGGACUGAGAUACGGGCCCAGACUCCUACGGGAGGCAGCAGUGGGGAAUAUUGGGCAAUGGGCGCAAGCCUGACCCAGCAAUGCCGCGUGAAGGAAGAAGGCUUCGGGUUGUAAACUUCUUUUGUCAGGGACGAGCAGAAGACGGUACCUGACGAAUAAGCCACGGCUAACUACGUG
rnacentral:rRNA from 1 species